GGGUAAGAUCGUACCAGCACUAAUGCACCGGCUCCCAUCAAAACUCCGCAGUUUAAGCGUGCUUGGGCGAGAGUAGUACUAGGAUGGGUCACUUGGUGAGAAGUCCUCGUGUUGCACCCC
rfam:Gossypium arboreum cultivar AKA8401 contig_68192_1, whole genome shotgun sequence.